rnacentral:rRNA from 1 species
UACAGAGGGGGCAAGCGUUGUUCGGAAUUACUGGGCGUAAAGGGCGCGUAGGCGGCCUUCUAAGUCGAACGUGAAAUCCCCGGGCUCAACCCGGGAACUGCGUCCGAUACUGGAAGGCUUGAAUCCGGGAGAGGGAUGCGGAAUUCCAGGUGUAGCGGUGAAAUGCGUAGAUAUCUGGAGGAACACCGGUGGCGAAGGCGGCAUCCUGGACCGGCAUUGACGCUGAGGCACGAAGGUCAGGGGAGCAAACGGG